CUAUUUUUUGCCGACGUCGGAGAAUGCCGUAUAAUUGCGAUUCCCGCUGUCCAUAAUCCGCCACGAAAUUCGCCUCACAAAUGGUUCCAGUGGGAAUUGCCAGACGGCGAAAAUCACUGCCAUUCCGGAUCGCAGCCGUUCAGGAUGCAGUGGAAAUUUGGGGUAAACAUUACUCCUCCUCAUGUCCUCUCCUUAUUUUACAUCUAUUUUUAUUUCCUUAUCCUCACAGUCAUAGCUCUACCUCUUCUCUCUUCCUUCCUUCCUUCCUUCCUUCCUCCCUCUCCUUCGUCUCCUCGGCUCUCUGAUAACGAACCUCUGUGCAGAUGAAUCCAAGAUGGCGUCCGAUCAGCAGCAUGACGGACUGCUUCAUCAAUAUCAUCAGAGGACAAAGGUCAGUGUAUGAUCAGACCGAUGAGCUGAUAUCAGUCUCAGUAAACCUGAUGGAGUCUCCUCAAUGCGCCGAUGUAUGAAGAGAUAAAAACCUAGAGCUGCGCGUUCAUAGAUUCAUAGUCCUGCAGGGAAGUCUCUGAAAACACUGAGGAUCAUAAAUGAUGAAGAAUGUGAAUUUCUGCAGAGUUUAGACCUUAAGAGGAGUUUACAAACUCUGGAGUCAUUUUAGAGUUUGGAGGAGGAUCUGAUCUAGAGGACAGAUAUCUGUAACACUCAAUUUCCACCUCAUCCUGAACAUCUACAAAAAGGUUGUAUCCUCCGAUCGUAGCUGAUCGUAACCAUUCAAGUUAAAGUGUCAAUUUCCACCGGCUUCUUUCCGUUCCUCUGCGGAUCGCCGGACUCCACAGCUGAUCGCAAGAGUUCUAUUUUUUCCAGAUGCCAGAGCAUGCAGGAUAAGUUCAGCACAGAUUAACCCGUGCUGGAAAGUCGGGCACUGACACAAAAUAAAACAUCCGUCUUCUUUUCAAAAUAAAACACUCAGUGUUUCAAGAUGAUCAUAUUUCACACCAUGCAAAUGGGCGGAGACGAACAAGUGAAAGGUUUUUAGACGUCAUUUUACCCUGAUGACACCGUGGAUGAGGGAGGAGAUGCUGAUUCUAGAAGUCUAGAAGUAGAUUUCCUCCUCUGGAAGGACACAAUCUACUGCUUAUAUGUCUAUGUGUCUGUCCUUAUAGAGACAGCUCAUUAUCGCGGGGUUUAAUGUGAAUCUGGGGGUUCUUGUGAGUUCUCGUGAUUCCUGCUGUGCGUAAUCAGCCAUGAAAUUCGCCUCACAAACAGAUCCGACAGGAAUUGGCAUACAGCGCAAAUUGCCGCAGUUCUGGAUCCGGUGAAAACUGGGGGUAAAAACUCAGUCAUGGUAUAGACCCGGUCCAGAUCUGUAGGGUCACAAACAGGUGAGGCAGCAGAUUUACAAAAUAAUCUGAUGAUUUAUCUCACAAACGUCUGAAAACAUUGAAUCUCGUGUUUUUAAACCUCAGAUCCUUUCAGGUUAUUCACUCAGCUGUUCUCAGAGCUGAUUAUUGACCGCCAAACAUGGACACCUGAGGGGGCAUCACACCACCUGAAGACCCUCAUCAUCAUCAUCCUCACCCUUCCUCCUUCAUUAGCUCAGUCAUGGUUCUCCAGCUGUCACACCUCCAUCCAUCCAUCCCUCUAUCAUCUCCUCCUCUCUGUAAUUAAAGCUAAUAGGAAGCUCUAACUGUUCGUGAAGAUCUGCCAAAGCCAUCCAUCCUUCCUCACCUCCAUCUCUCUCUCCACUUUUAUGUCUUCCUGCUCCAUAUGGCUGGGUCAACCCCCCACCCCCCCCCCAAGAGAAGUUGGGUUUGUUAAUAGCCCAUAUGGCCUCAUCAUAUGCUGCCAGUGAAUCCUGAUGACAGGAGAUUGGCAGAGGUUCCUCGCUAGCUGUCAGACUGUGACACCACGCCAACGUGCCGAUAAUGAAACCUGCUGAAAGUCACACACACACACACACACACACACACACACGCACUAAGACACACGCAGCAGCUGCACUGACCUCCAUGUUAAUGAGAUCAUUAAGUUUGAUAAAAAAAAAAUUAAAAGUUUGGAGGAACUUUUUCAGUAAAUUUAGGUCCAGACCAACUUCCUGUUUGUCCCUCAUUACUCUGCGUCUCAGAGUGGUCAUCAUGUGCCGCUUUAAAACAGCUGAUUAAUGUUGUCAUGUUAACUAGAGGAUCUAUAAAAACAACUUCAAGUAUUUGUCUUUACAAGUUUAACAAACAAACCGUCCCUUUAAUUUUUCUUUGAUGCUGUUUUUACCUGCAGCUCAGGUGGGACUGAGCCAACGGAGAGAAACUUUGGCUGCUUUUGCAGAGAGCCUCUAGUGCAGCUCUUCUGGAUCUGACGGUUUCUGGUUUAAAGAAGCUGCUGUCUGCUGGGUUAGUGUUAGGAUGAGUUUCUGUAGCCAGUCAUAUUAGCCUUUAGAGUGUUGGAGCUGUGUCACUCAAAUACCCCAGACACUUUGGUGUUAGAUUGCUGGAGCCGGGGGCCUCCGACAACCAUCCCUGACCGAGGAACCCUGUACACAUUAUUUACAUCAUGUAGGUCCCCCAAAUAUGUUUUGCUAUGGUAUUUCCUUCUUGGGACCUUCUACAUGUUCACCUAAGGCUGUUUAAAAUAUGUUGUCCUUUGUUUUUACCGUAUAUGGAUUUCUCUUAAGGUCAACUAAAUAUCAACAGUAUGUUAAGAGUUGUGGACCUUCCAUUCUUUCAAGUGUGAACCUGGGCUAGGCAUCCUUACAGUUAGUCUAAGGCAGUGCUUCUCAAAUAGUGGGGCGCGCCCCCCAAGGGGGGCGCGGUGCCAUACCUGGGGGGGCGCGUGUGACCCUGGGGAUCAGGCUUUUUUUUGGCAGUACUAGAAUAAAGUGUAAUUGCGCAUCCACUACAGUAGGCGGCAGUGGCGCUCUCAUUGUUACUUCUGUCACGUUUGCGACAGUGCAACAUUUUACGACUUACAAGACAACAGGUUUGCCUUGGUUAGCAGUGUUGAGUCAACAGAAAGCUCCGACUGCGUCCUGUCUAUAGCCUCCGUUAUUCAACAUAACAACCCCCAACAUGAAAAAGUUUUUAACAGGGAUGAAAAGAAAAGCGGAGAGAGACAAAGAUAAUGAGACAAAAGAAAGUCAGCCGAAAGCUAAGACGAGGAAAUACGACGAAGCGUAUUUAGCGCUUGGCUUCACUGUGAGUACAGUUGGAGAAGAGGAAAGACCGGUGUGUCUGCUGUGUCUAGUGUCUAAAAAUGCUCGCAGCGGACAGCAUGAAGCCAAAUAAAUUGGCGCGUCACUUAAAUACGUUACACCCCAAUCACGCCGAUAAGCAGCUAGAGUUUUUUCAACGAAAACGUGCUGAAUAUGGCCAACAGUCAUCCCGCUUUGUGAAGGCUACUUCAGUAAACCGUCGAGCGCUGUUAGCAUCAUAUAAGGUGGCGUACCAAAUCGCGCAGUGCAAAAAGCCCCACACCAUAGCAGAGGAGCUGAUACUGCCUGCAGCAUUAGACAUGGUCUCUGUCAUGCUGGACGACGCCAGUGCAGCAAAACUAAAAACUAUCCCUCUGUCCAAUGACACUGUCGCCAGACGUAUAGAUGACAUCGCUAACGAUCUUCAAGGAUUUAUUUAUUUUUAAUUUCAGGCAUUGAUGCACUUAAAAUCUUUUCUGUUGCAGACUUAAAACACGAUUUGAUAAAGUUAUUCUUUGUAAGUUUGACCAUAUGUCUUUCUUUUUUUCUUUAAUGUUAAUAAGGAUAAAAUGUUAUGCAGAGAUGGAUAGUCAUGGUGGGGAGUGGGGGGCGCGAAUAGUUUUCUUCUUGCUAGGGGGGGCGUAACAGAAAAUAAUUGAGAAGCACUGGUCUAAGGUGAUGGAGACUGUGACCCAGUUUAUCACCUGGAUCAGACUAAAGCUGAUCAGGAGGACAUACUGACCCAGGAUUUCCACCGCAUCCGGAACGGCUCCGAUCCGGAACAGUGGCGGUUUUCACGGUAUGCCACUUCCAACUAGAUCAGUUUGUGAGACAAAUUUCAAGGCGGAUUAAGGACAGUGGUAAACGCAAGAUUAGAGAGCCUCUAGUGGACACUCAGAGAACUGCAGCUCUUAUCUCUUCUAGAUCUGAAAGGUUCUGGUCUAAAUAAGCUGCUGUCUGCUGGGUUAGUCUAAAGUGGAUCUAAACAGUGACUCGGUUUAUCACCUUGGAUCAUCAGGAGGACAUACUGACCUGGGAUUUCCACCGCAUCCAGUACAGCAGCGAUUUUCACGGUACGUCAAUUCCAACUAGAUCAGUUUGUGAGGUGAAUUUCAUGGCUGAUUAAGGACAGUGGCAGACUCUUUAUUUACCAAAGGUACGGCAGGUGGUUAAUCCAAACUAGAACACACAAAGACACACACGUAAAAAAGUAAAUAACCGCUAAGACUGAACUUACUGAAGAGUUUUACAAACACAUCAGGACUUGAACUCGUGUGUCAGAUCCUUGACUUUUAGACCCCAUCUGGAUCCGGACUCUGGUCCCCUGUAAAACCACCUCUUGACUUCCUCCUCCACCUUGUCCCCUCACCAGACCUUCAGGUACCUGUAGACCUGCUCUGGUGUGUCCACAGGUUCCCCGUCCUGAUGAUAGAUGGUCCUCAGCUGACUCUGAGAAGAACAGGAGCUCCACUUCCUCAUCUCUCCUGAUAAUAACUGAUAAUGAGGAUUUAAUGUGCCGACAUCUGCUACACCAAACUCUGCAGAUCAUUAUUUUUUCUGCAGAUGUAUGUGUGAAUAUUCAUGGAGAUGAUGGAUGUUCUCCUCUGGGGUUUCACCUAAAUGGAUGGUUGAACUUUGGAGAAGUUAAAGUUUUAUGGAGGAGAACUGGUAUUGUGGUUUUCUUUAGUCUGGGACUCCUGCAGAGCCGCUCAGUACCUCCUCAUCCAUGUGAUCCUGUUGACACACUUCUCAGUUUUUGACUGAUAAAAACUCAAACACAGCUCACAGGGGUGUUACUUUUUACACAGCUGUGUAGUCCUGAAACAAACACUCUCGUACUGGGUCAGAACUUCACUUCAGACAGAGUCCAAGUCUCAUUAGAUCUGUGCAGGAACCUUCUGAAAAUAGGACUCGCACCAACAGCCGAGUAUCUCAUGAGACUUCGCUGAGGGUCCAGCUCUGGAAGUAUUUCUUUAGAUCCAGACCAACGUGGAUGGAGAACUUGUUCUGAAGAAACCAGAACUCCAAGUUUUCCUGGUCCAAUAUGAGUCCCAGAGCUGCAAAUAAAACAUGGACAUGAUUUACCCUUCGGUGUCCACCUGAUCAGCAGAUGAUGGAAGUCAGUGGGUCGGUAAUUCAGUCAGCAGGUCCCAGCCUGCUCCUCUUUCUCACCAACCGAGGUCUAUUUCCUCUCCUCCUUCUCCUGUGGAGCGAGGGAGGAAUGAGGGGGAGGCCAUCUGUGGAAGAGGUGCAUACUGGGAGGAGCAGAUUGAAGAGAGAGAGAGAGAGAGAGGAGGAGAGGAAGGAGGAUAAAAGGUAAUAAAGUGGACUUUAGUGUAAAUUUAUUUUUAACCCUUUGGUUCCUGUUAAUUUGAAGUUCCAUCCAGCCUACUUUGUCUCCAAAACGGACAUGCAGAGAAGUGUUCAUAAAAUAAUUGUUUUUUAUUUUUACUUUUUUUUUUAAACUCAUAUCUCUUAAACAACUUCAGCCCGGAACAUUAAAAAAUAAUAAUUAAAAAAUUGGAUGAUUUACCCUUUUUGUGGCAGUUUUUGUGCGCCAUGUCACUGUUAUUUUUUAAUAGUAAAAAAAACACAAAAUUCACCAUAUUUCCAAUAUAAAAUGACCUAGAUGAAUUUCUUUUUUUCAAUAAAUAAAGUCUGGGCCAUGUCAGUGAUGAGAAGUAAAUCAAUUUUGGUGCAUUUAAAUCCUUUUUGUUGUGCAAAUUUCUGUAUUGUAGCUCCAUCCAGCCUACUUUGUCUCCAAAACUGACAUGCAGAUAAGUGUUCAUGAAAUAAUCAUUUUUUAACCUUUUUUCUCACUCAAAUCUCUUAACCAACUUCAGCCCUCACCAAUAAUAAAAUAAUAAAUGAAAAAUUCAAUGUAUUACCCUUUUAUUACAGUUUUUGUGUGCCAUGUCAUAUUUAUUGAUAAAGUGUGCGUUCUGAACUGCUGAGUCUAUUGGAGCAGAAAAACACAGCAUUUUCACCUCCAUGUCUCAAGCCUCAUCCAAAUCAAAUGUGAUCCAGUUCAUUUGUUCAUGUUAAAUUAAUUUUAUAUAUAGGCAUAUAAAAUCAGAAGGUAUAUGUAAGAUAGGAAUCAUUCACAAGUGGUUAUCCACCUCUAACCAAAAUAUGACCGUGAUUACGCUGAUUGCACACAUAUAAAAAAUAACUGUAUAUUUGAGAUGUGAUAUUUUCUCACCUAAUGAUCUGAAGGACCUGUUCAUCCUCAUGCAUGUCCAUCCACUCACCCUGAAGUAAGGGCAAAGUUGAAAUUGUCCAAAUGUCCCUCUCUCUUUGUCCCACACUGCAGAACUGGACGUCAGAUUUUCGACUGUCAAAAACUCUGCUAAAGGCAUGCCUGGUUAUAAACAUGAACACAGAUUCGCACCCAUGCACACACUCAGCAGCACACAAACUUAUCCCUACACACAUAUCCCACCCUUAGACAUCCAUAUCUAGUGGCAUGUAAAGUUUCAUUCAUUUCUGAUGAUGUUCAGUGGAUGAAUCAGCGCUUCAAACACUCUCAGUCCAUGAAUGAAGACUAGCGUGCGCGGCACUGAAGGGGUUAAAAUGAUGUGCUGGCUUAAUCUGUUAUAUCACUGUCAGAAAGUCAAAUUUAGAGCCCUGGUGAUCGAGUGACUGCAAAAAAAGAGGUUGUAAUAUGUUGGUAUAGUGCCAUAAACACACGGUCAAAAACGUGUUUUUAAUGGAAGUCUAUUGUCCGAUUUGCGGACAAAGGAGGGUGGGUGGAGCUAAAAUGUUUUUUUGUUUUUUUUUAAUACGAAGAAAAAUAAGAACUCUGACCAAAUUUGAUGCCCCAAUCUUUAAAAAUGUAACUGUAAGCUCAAAUUAAAGAUGUCCUCAAAACGGACAGAGUAGGAACCGAGGGUUGAAAGGUUAAUUUUCAGGGGCCUCAUUUAUAAAACCUGGCGUAGGAUCCAUACUAAAAGUGUACGUAAGUUGAAAAGCUGAAAAGUGCGUAGGCAAAAAAAAAAAUCCGAUUUAUAAAACCCUGCCUACGCACACCUGCACGCACUUUCCCUUUAUAAAUCACAGACCAGCUGGAAAGUUGCUCAGCAGGGAUUUGAUUCUUCCCCGCCCUCUCCACACCCAAAAUUCACCAUGUAUGGUCAUGCAAAUUACCUCGUGAAUGUGAUUUGCAUGUAAAUAAGCCUGGUGGAUCCACGGCAUUUCACGCUUAACCAUGGCAUCAGCAAGUCGUAGAAAAAGAAACUUUUCAGAGAUCGAGGUGGAGGUUCUUGUAAAUGAGGUGACGGCGAGACGGGAGACCUUAUUCGGCGGCCAUUCGAGUGGCAUCACCGAUAAAAACGCCGUUGCCGUGGUGGCAAUUGCGGCUGGCACUGAGCGCAGCAUUGCCGAAACAGUGUUGUUUUCAUCAUAUUUCGUCAAAUAUUCUCGUCAACACCAGCGUCAAAAGGAAAUAUUUUCAUCAACGAGAACAACACUGGUUGUUUUUGUUGACGGAAAUAUUUCCCUUUUCUUCCACGACGGCGACGUAACGUUGACGAGCUAAACAUAAGUCGGAGAUGACUAAAAUGUGACGAGACGAAAGUGCGUUUACGUUGAUGGCACGAGACGAAAAUAACGACCAGAGUUACAAAACUCAGUCAGUUAAACGCUAAACAUAUAGGAGCAGCUUCAGUCCGCUCUGACAGCUCUCAUCAGCCUGCUGUGCUCCUCCAACACACAGACACACACGCACGUGCGCGCAAACACGUGGAGUUUUGUUUUCGUCGAUGAUGACGAAAACAAAACUGUGCCGAAAUCAAGAAGAAGUGGUCUGAUCUAAAGGUGGAGGCAAAGAAAAAAGUGGCUUUGCACCGUCGGAGCGUGGCGGCGACAGGUGAGGAUCAGAAAAAACAAGCACGUGUGACACUCGUGCAUGUGUUAAAAAAAAAAACCGCUCAGUUAUCCACUGCUGCUCAUGUGGUGAAAGUUCGUAAACCAAAAAGAUUUAGUCAUAUUAAUCUUAAAACAAAUGCAUGUAGAUGGAAUUUGUUUUUUUGCACAUUUGUAAAUUCAAAUUGGCAAACUAUCUACACCGCCACAGUGGGGUCUGUGCUUUCUGCGAGCAUCACUGCCUGUUACAGCAGCUGCAGCUCUCAGGACAGAAAGGCUGCAUCGAGUCAUCCGUUGUGCUGAACGCAUCACCCGGACUGUUCUCACCUUGCUCCGAUUGUCUCCAAAAAGUGCGUAAGCAAGGUGUGGAGUUUGCUUAAAGUUGCGCACAUUCCUACACUAGUUUUUCUUUUAUAAAUCCCAACUCUUGCGUAAGAAGUGGCGUACGCAAUUUCUAGCCAGGUUUUGUGCGUAAGCAAGCUUUAUAAAUGAGGCCCCGGGUCAUUAUGGUAAAGUACCAGAAAUCAGUCCAAUCAUGAGUUUGGUGAUGGCAUUGUGACUCUAUUAACAGUCAAAUUUAAGACUUGACUUUAAGACAAAAUAAUUCACAGUGCAGUCUGACUUUUGACCAGAAACCACACUGUUAAACUUUAUAAACAUGCAGUUCUGUUUGAAAUGAAAGAUCCACACACACACACACACACACACACACACACACACAGUCACACUUUACAAACACACACACAGUAGAUUAACACUUAACAAACACUCACACACAGGGUCACAUUUUACAAACACACACACACAGUCACACUUUGCAUGCACACACACACACACACACACACACACACACAGUAGAUUAACACUUAACAAACACACACACACAGGGUCACAUUUUACAAACACACACACAGUCACACUUUACAUGCACACACACACACACACACACACAGUAGAUUAACACUUUACAAACACACACACACGCACACACAGAGUCUCACUUUACAAACACACACACAGUUACAUUUUACAAACACACACACACGCUCAGAGUCACACUUUAGAAACACAUACACACAGAGUCACACUUUACAAACACACACACACACACACACACACACAGAGUCACACCUUACACACACACACACACACACACAGAGUCACACUUUACAAACACACACACAGUCACACUUUGCAUGCACACACACACACACACACACACACAGUAGAUUAACACUUUACAAACACACACACACAGGGUCACAUUUUACAAACACACACAGUCACAUUUUACAAACACACACACACACAGUCACACUUUACAUGCACACACACACACACACAGUAGAUUAACACUUUACAAACACACACACAUGCACACACGCACACACAGAGUCCCACUUUACAAACACACACACAGUUACAUUUUACAAACACACACACAGUUACAUUUUACAAACACACACACACAGAGUCACACUUUACAAACAAACACACACACACACACACACAGAGUCACACCUUACACACACACACUCACACAGAGUCACACUUUACAAACACACUCACACAGAGACACACUUUACAAACACACACACUCUCUCACAUAGCGGCAGCAGACACGGAGCGGUAAUGGGGUCUCAUUCCAUGUUUCUUUAUCCAGUUAUUAAUGUUAUUUCUUUUGACCUGCGAGGGACUACAGAUGAAAAGUAGCCUUUGGCUAAUUCUGGCAUCUUUACAUUUAUAUGUUCAUCAAUAUGUGCUGUCCCUUCUAAAUAAAGGAAAUAAAAUAAUGAAGUAAUGCACGGGUUGGGCCGCGGGGGAUUAUCUUCAGGAGCAGAAAUUAAAGAAGAUUUUAGACAAAGAUGGAAGAGAGAAAGAGAGAGAGAGAGAGAGAGAGAGAGAGAGAAGGAGAGGUGACAGGUAAGAGAGAGAGAUAGUGAGUGAGAGAGAGAGAGAGAGAUGAUCACCUGUCUGGGCGAAGAAUUAAGAGAAGUCAUUAUUUCACCUCUUCAUUUAAAAAAAAAAACUUCAGAUGGAAUAAAUUAAAAAAGACUUUACAGACUGUCAGGAUUUAGAGGGUCUUUUUUUCCUCUUUCAUCUGAUCAUCAAUAAUCACAAAUAUCAGAAAGUUAUUGAUAGGGAAGUUUAAGGAAUCAAACUUUAGUAAGACACAUCCUCACAGAGAUACAAAAACAAGAACCAAAACACAACUGCUUUGUUCUCCACCAACCCAAAUACACACACACAUACACACACACACACGCACGCACGCACGCAAACUGUAUGCCUCCCCACAGCCGAACACCAUCUGCAUGACCAUAUGUGAGCUUCAUCUCUACUGCAACUGCAUUCACACACACACACACGAGCAUACACUCCUACACAAACACAAACAAACACACACACACGCACAUACACACUCCUGAGGCCAGGUGUAAACAAGCUUGUCUCCCAGCAGAUGUGUUUUCUGUCAUUCUGCAUAUUGUUCCACCAUGCUAGCUCUAAAUGUGUGUGUGUGUGUGUGUGUGUGUGUGUGUGUGUGUGUGUGUGUGUGUGUGUGUGUUGUCGGACUCUGACAGCUUGAUGCCUCCUAAACCUUUCUUGGCUCCUCUUCUACACACACUCACACAAAUAACACACAAAAACACACAAUAUGCACCUAUCCAUGUCCGUGAGCAAACACCUACACACACGCGCGCGCACGCACACACACACACACACACACACACAGAAGCUGAGUCAUGGAGCAGAUUCUGACAGGAGGAAGAGUUUCUUCUUAUUGUUUGGUCUGACUUUUCAGCUCCAGACCCAAAGUUUGGCGUUUUCAACCAUCGCCACCCAACUUUGUUUUUUCAAUGUUGACCAUAUUUGGUGAAGGCAGAGCUAAAGGAGGCGACACUAACUCUAGCUUUUUGUAAGAUCCAGUAAAAUAAGGCAAGAUAUGAAGAACUUUAUUAAUCCCCGAAGGGAAAUUCAAUAAGCAAGACUGAGAUGAUAAUUCAGAAAAACGUCUGGCGGAAAGUUCGACCGAUAUUUUCAGGUGUCAGCCUGUCAAUCAGAGGGUAGCCCCGCCCUUAAAUAUCACCUGAUGAAUAUUCAGAUGCAGAACCUCCGCAAUUUACUGCUCAGAACUGAAACCUGUGUCCUGGAGUGAGCUGGAUUACGAGGCAGAGUCUGCUGAGAACCAGCCUAGCUUGCAGACUGGCUGUUUUGCAACAAUCACAACCCUGCAUGAGCAGCAACGACACAGCGUUCAGAGUCGCCUUCUGCUGGACACUAAGAUGUUCAUCUUUAGUUUUGAAUCCUAAAUUUUAUUAAAACUUUGAACUCCCAGCUAUAUUUUGCUAUUUUUGGUCCGCCUGUUUACUUUGUAAAAAUCUAUGCAGCAACUCGAUCCUUUCAAGAACAGCAACUAUAUACACAAAUCUUUUUCAGGACAACCUCAGCUGUCAGUUUAUGGAGCAAAAAUGAUGUAAAGUGAAUGUGACAGUAGAUUCAGAACCAUCAAAGUCAACCAAAAAACAAAAAUGGACAUUGAUACCAACAGUACUUUGCUCAACUGUGAAGCACGGGGAUGGCAGCAUCAUGUUAUGGGGCUGUUUUGCUGCAGCAGGAACUGGAGCUCUUCAUAAAAUAGAUGGUAUCAUGGAGAAAGAACAUUACCUGGAAAUAAUAAAGCAACAUCUCAAGACAUCAGCCAGGAGGCUAAGACUUGGGUGCAAAUGGGUGUUCCAAAUGGAUGAUGACCCUAAGCAUACUGCCAAAACAGUUAAAAAGUGUCUCGAGGACAACGUCAAUGUCUUGGAGUAGCCAUCACAAAGCCCUGAUCUGAAUCCCAUAGAAAAUUUGUGGGCAGAUCUGAAAAGGUGUGUGCGAGUGAGGCGACAACCUGACUCAAGAAAACCAGUUCUGUCAGCAGGAAUGGGCCAAAAUUCCAGUAGAGUACUGUAGAAGGCUUGUGGAAGGAUACCCAAAAUGUUUGACCCAAGUCAUGCAGUUCAAAGGCAAUUCUGCUAAAUACUAAGGAAAUGCAUGUAAACUUUUGACCUUGAAAAAAGUAAUAAAAAAAUUCUCUAAAAUAUACUCUCUCUUAUUAUUGUGGCAUUUAGCAAAAAGAAAUAAUUUUGGUAAUCCUAACUGACCUGAAACAGAAGAGGUUUAGUCUAAUUUAGCUUCAGACAGUGAGGGAAAAAAAUUGUGUCUUUUUGUAGUGUAUGUAAACUUCUGGUUUCAACUAUAAAUCUACAGUGACCAAGCCGUUUCUCACCUGCACAUCAUUCUCUCAAGUCUUGGCUAUCAGGAGAAGAAAUACUGGGAUUGGAACAAACACACAACAGAACCUAUUUAAUACUUCCAGGCGUUUUUUUUUACUAUUUACAGUUGUUUAUGCCACUCCUUGAAGCCGUUCCUGUCUGGGAUGAGACAGAGGACCACAUCAUACUGCGCCCCUGUCUGGUAUGGAAGUCUGUAUGCAAGCAAGGUUGACGUGGCUAUCAACAGCACCCUCCAAAUUAUAACUGGAUGCUUGAAGCCUACACCAGUUUCCUUCUUGCCAGUCCUCGUGGGAAUAGCCCCAGCUGGCCUCCGACAGGAGGCUGCCACCUAGUGUUGUCGUACUCAAGACCGGUCUCGAGACCAUUUUUUGAGGGUUUUGGUGUCGUCUCGGAAUUGAAGACAUUUUCACUUGGUCUUGUCUUGGUCUCGGAGUGAGCGGACUCAGGUUUUUGAACGAGACCGGUCGAGCUAAUAACUUCACAUCAUUGAUAGUAAUGAUUCUCCCCCAGCUGCUAAGUUACCUGCCCAGUGUCACACAGUCUGAGUGACUGACACACCCCCUCCAUACAGAGAGAGGAUGGAGACGACAGGAGGAGAGGCUGUGUUCAUGCUCGGCACCCGGUGAACUCAUCAUUAAAGAUGUCUGCCAACUCAGCAAUAAUUAAGUUUGGUUUCCUAAAACCACAAGGAGUUUAUUUGUAAAACAACAUGCAAGUGAAAACCCUCAGCAGUGAGCAAAUUCUGCAGUGCACAGCUCACAGAAACAGCUGGUACGACUUCAAACUUUUACUGUCACCUCGAGAGGAAGCAUAAAGACAGGUAAGCUAACGGUUACCAUACAGUAGUGUUGUAGUACUUGAGACCAGUCUUGGUCUCAAGACUGGUCUCAAGACCAUUUUUUGAGGGUCUUGGUGUCGUCUCGGAAUCUAAGGCAUUUUCACUCUGUCUUGUCUCGGUCUUGGUCCUCUCUGGUCUCUGUAAUGUCUUGGUCUUGGUUGGUGCGGUCUUGACUACAACACUACUGCCACCCUUGCCCUGGCCAGGAAGGCACAAAGGCAUGAUUAACAUUUCCUGCCAAACACCACAACAACAGCAGCGCCUCCAAGAAGACUCAAAUCCUGCCACCCCUACAACAAUGCAGCAUAAGAGAUGCUCAAUUCCACCUCUGAGGACAUCUCCAGAGAUUCUUGGCUGGCAGCAGCUUGGAAGAAGGAGUGGCAGUCAGCUGGGCCUUCUCACAUCCAUCCUUAACAUUCAGGACCCAGGAGGUGGCGCCAUAGGAGGAGACAACCUACCACGACAGCAAUGGACAACACUGAACCGCCUAAGAACUGGGGUUGGUCACUUUAGAACAUCAGUGAGGAGGUGGGGCCUGGUGGACAGUGCAGCUUGUGAGUGUGGUGACCCUGAGCAGACUGCCAACCAUAUAAUCAGCACCUGCCCCCCCUAAACCAGCCUCUUUGACCUAGGACCAGAGAUGUUGGCAUGGCUACAUGACACCGAGUUGGACCUCUGACGAUAUACGAAAGAAGAAGAUACUGCUUAUACUCUCUUCUUUGCUUGUUUCCAAACAUUGAGGACCAUUAUUUCUUAUUUUACAAACAAGCAGGGAACCUUCUUGUCUCUUGUUGAUCUUUGGUUGCCUCUUAUUGGACACUACCGUAAAGGGAAUAAUAGAAGAAGAAUAUGAGACCAUGUAAUUGGUCCAAAGUUUGACUGAAAAAGACGUCAUUAAAACAUCUUGUCAAAUCCAGAAGACAUUAGCUGCAUAUAGCAUUACGGAUCUUUUUUAUCACAACAAUAUGAUAAAUAAUCAUGUUUUCACUGGUAUAUCACUGCGGAUUUACCUUCAAAUGUCUCUGAUCAAACACCUAUAUUUGUGUCUGGAUUGUAAACCUUGUGGCAGGUGUAGAAAUGUCUGGAAACCCUCAAUAGAUCGCCAAAAGGGUACGCUUUUUAACACUUUUUGUUCUAUAGAGAUACACGGUAUAGUUCCUGAGAAACUGUAAACAAUGUUAAUGGUAUCAUGUGGGAUCGGCAGCGAUCCAGCGGAGGUAAAUAAACAUCGGGUCUGAGUCUGCUCAGUCUUACCCUCCAGGAGCUGAACCAUGGCAUGUUCACAAUCCUCUCCGUUUCACUUUUAGACGUAAAAAGACUUUUUUUUUUCACUUUUUCUCGUUGUUUCGUUUUAUUUCCUGUCAGGUUUGAAGCUUAACGCAGACUCAGGUGGGACUCAAACUCAGGGGGAAACAUCGAACGCCGCCAAACAAUACAGACGCCCUGCACAGCGUGAGGCGGUGAUGCGGGCU